rnacentral:rRNA from 1 species
AUUGAACGCUGGCGGAAUGCUUUACACAUGCAAGUCGAACGAUGAACCUUAGCUUGCUAGGGGCAUUAGUGGCGAACGGGUGAGUAAUAUAUCGGAACGUGCCUUGUAAUGGGGGGAUAACUAGUCGAAAGAUUAGCUAAUACCGCAUACGCCCUGAGGGGGAAAGUAGGGGAUCUUCGGACCUUACGUUAUAAGAGCGG